rnacentral:rRNA from 1 species
GACGAACGCUGGCGGCGUGCUUAACACAUGCAAGUCGAACGGAAAGGCCCUGCUUUUGUGGGGUGCUCGAGUGGCGAACGGGUGAGUAACACGUGAGUAACCUGCCCUUGACUUUGGGAUAACUUCAGGAAACUGGGGCUAAUACCGGAUAGGAGCUCCUGCUGCAUGGUGGGGGUUGGAAAGUUUCGGCGGUUGGGGAUGGACUCGCGGCUUAUCAGCUUGUUGGUGGGGUAGUGGCUUACCAAGGCUUUGACGGGUAGCCGGCCUGAGAGGGUGACCGGCCACAUUGGGACUGAGAUACGGCCCAGACUCCUACGGGAGGCAGCAGUGGGGAAUAUUGCACAAUGGGCGGAAGCCUGAUGCAGCAACGCCGCGUGCGGGAUGACGGCCUUCGGGUUGUAAACCGCUUUCGCCUGUGACGAAGCGUGAGUGACGGUAAUGGGUAAAGAGGCACGGGCAAGCUAGGUG